CUCUGUUGAGAUAAAAUACAUGUAAGAAUAUAGAGCAAGACCGCAAACAUUUUCAAAUAAAAUCAGCACAAAAAUGAUUUCUUGAAAACAGAUGCCGAACUUACACAAACACAUGUAGAAUGAUAAAUUACACCGCGAAUAAAUGAAAUGAAUGUUUACUUCUGUGCCACUUCGGGCCUUCUCUCAAUUCCAGAAUAAUACAUGAAGCAACUGAAAAUGCUGAUGCUUAAUUCUUUUUUCUCCUGCCCAUGUAGUGACAUUUAUUAAUCUGGGUUUAAAUACACAGAUAUGUCUGUUAGAAACAUCUCCAGACAGUCCUGUCACUAUUACAUGGUGACUGUUUUUGCCAAAUAACAGCUAUGCCUUAGAUCUGAUGUAACGUUUUCACUGGAACUCAAAACCUAGAACACAUGAUAUGGUUUUAGAGGGCUGGGAUAUAAAACAAGUAAUUAUUUGGAGUGUAAUCUCUUUAUAUAUAACAAGAUAUACAUAUAUACACACACAUGUAAGAGAGAUCAGGCACGAAGACAGGCUUAGAAAAGAUGUUUGAGGAGGGAGGGGCAGACACUGUUUAUGACACCAUCACAGAGCUAUAUUUAUACAGGAUUUGGCAUCAUGCCAGAGCUGUACACAAAGUCAUCAUAUCCACACCAUAUUUCUUCCCUAAACUUCCUCACUGCUCUCAUAUGGGGAGAUGAUGAUUUAACUCUUUGGGUCCUAGGGCUGCCUUUGAUAACAGAGUAUAUAAAAAUGCCAGAAGUCCUGUGUGUCCACAGGUAGGAGUUUCUCCACUUGUAACUUUAACGCAAUUUUUUUUUUCUUUUUAAAAGGGGAGCAAGAAGAGGACUGAAGGAGGAGAGCUAGUGGACAAGCCCCUUUAAAAUCCCUGUUACUGUAAAAAGGAUUUUGGCAAAAUUAAACCUUGUCCACAGUCACCAGCAAACCGAAAAAUGUUCACUGAAUUCACUGUCUUCUAAGUAGUGGUGCCAUAAGGACAUGCCAUUCUUGAAGGCUGCAAUUUGGGAGGAUAUAACACAGCAGAGUCAGAAUUAUUUGGUCUUUGAGGAGCUGGUUUGUGCCUCUUCAACUGAGAAGGAAGUAAGAUAGUGCUGAGCACUCUCCCCAGUGUGCUGAAUGGAAGUGCUCCCUGCACAAGACACCACAAAAAUGCAAACACUUGUGUCUCACAUAAUAAUGCAGACGUGAACUAUGCAACACCAGGGACUUCCCCAUCACAGGGAAGAAAUCUUUCUAUUCUCUACACAUUUAAUACAUGGCUUUGAACCUUUCUUAUUCAAAAUAUUCCAAAAUAUUCUAAACAGGCAUGGAAGACAGAAUGGCUAAGUAACCUGAGGCUCUCAUUCAUGGUGAUAUGGAGUGCUUUAUAAAUCGCUUAUAACGAUGUGCACGUAAAGAAGGGAUGGCACUAUCUAUUCUGCAGGCAGAGCAGACAGUUGUGAAGACUAAAAAAUCUUGACUGGUUUUAGAUGUCUGAUCUGAGACAUUAUGACCUGUUUCACUGAGGAGUCAGCACCCCAUAAUGCUUUAAUAUUCAAAAUGCACUUCCCUCUGGCUUCAGCUGUGUGUGCUCUGAACUCCUGCAAAUCAUGCCUGCAAGGUAUCCAGCUAAGCAUUCAGCAUAGUGACCUCCUUUCCAAACUCUGCUUGGAAUGACUUGCUUACCUGCACAAAACAGCUCUCUGGGAGAGGCAGGAACAGAAUGCAAAUCACAAGGGCAAAACUAAAUAGCUUUGGCAUGUCCCUUCUUGUGAUCCUGGUCUUACUCUCUUUAUCACAUUCAACUUGCAGCUCAGGUAGUAGUGCUGUUGGAGAUGAUCAUCUGGAACACUCUAUGUUCCUGAUUCACCACAGAGCAAAUCUGCACUGUCCACUGAACUACAAAAGAACUUCUGUAAAAAAACCCGAGCAGUGAUAGUGUAACUAAUCCUUGCUUCUUCAUACAUGCAGCAUUACAAGGUUCAAUUAAAGUUGGAUUUCCUAAUAUUUGGAUACCUGACCUUGCGAUCUUCUGAAUAUUCUUGGUGUGGGGAAAGGCUGGAGGAGGAAGAUGGCAACAUGUAUGUAUAAUCUGCCAAAAAGAAAUCUAUACUUUCAUCAUUUCAAGUAUCUAAACACAGUCUGGACCAGAGCUACCUACAGCCACGGCUGCACAAUCCUGAGGCAGUGUUCCUGGCAUGGAGCAUCCUCAGUAGCCCUGCUCAGAAUGCAGAAUCCUUACGGCUGGAAGGGACCUCUGGAGAUCAUCUAGUCCAACCCCCAACAAGGUUGCUUUAGGGGAUGGAAAUCAAUAUUGGGAACGUCUUUUCUAAAAGGCCCUUCACUAACACAGUUCAUGUGAUCUUAUUGCUAUAAGCUUCAGAGAGCAUGGCACAUGCCUGUUUUCCUGAUGUUUCUGAGAGGUGGCAGUGAUGGAAUAUGGUAUGUCAAUAUACUGUAUUGCAAAAUGGUGAUUUACUGGAAUAUUUACAUUUGGGGAAUUUGAAAUAAAGAAGAAAGAUACUCUGGAAAUCAAAAUUUUAGUUGUGCUUCCUAACGCAUGUACAUUAAACAAGCUUUCAGUAAGUAUGAGGAAAUAAAAAAAAAAAAUACUUAAAAGAUCUUUCUUCUGCUAUUUAUAGUACAAGCAGGUUAAACAGAGCACCUAAUCUAUAGUCGUGAAGGUCUAGUUUGUAGUAUUACAAUAUACGGGUUCUGGAAUUAGGGAAGGUUGGUUGUGUUUGGGUAGGAACUUGUAAGUACAGCAAGGAGAAGCCUGAAAGUGUAACUUCAGUCUUCAACACCAACAUGACAUCAGUCUCUGCGUGUCUGCCCAUGAGGGAAAGUAGAAGGGUAAUUAACACAGUACAUGAAAAAAUGAAUGGGUUUUAUUAGCCCUGGUAACAAGAUAUUGUAAGUCUAAGCUUCACUGUGAUCAAGCCAAGUGUGUAAGUUAAUCAAGACCUUCACUAAAGUAUUUCUGUUAACACUUUCAUCUUACCAGUGGGAAUUAUUUAUAAAACUGUUUUCCCCUGCCCCCAUGACAAGGUGAUCAUUAACACAGCACAG